rnacentral:rRNA from 1 species
AGAGGUUUGAAUCCUGGCUCAGGACGAACGCUGGCGGCGUGCUUAACACAUGCAAGUCGAACGGAAAGGCCCUGCUUUUGUGGGGUGCUCGAGUGGCGAACGGGUGAGUAACACGUGAGUAACCUGCCCUUGACUUUGGGAUAACUUCAGGAAACUGGGGCUAAUACCGGAUAGGAGCUCCUGCUGCAUGGUGGGGGUUGGAAAGUUUCGGCGGUUGGGGAUGGACUCGCGGCUUAUCAGCUUGUUGGUGGGGUAGUGGCUUACCAAGGCUUUGACGGGUAGCCGGCCUGAGAGGGUGACCGGCCACAUUGGGACUGAGAUACGGCCCAGACUCCUACGGGAGGCAGCAGUGGGGAAUAUUGCACAAUGGGCGGAAGCCUGAUGCAGCAACGCCGCGUGCGGGAUGACGGCCUUCGGGUUUGUAAACCGCUUUCGCCUGUGACGAAGCGUGAGUGACGGUUAAUGGGUAAAGAAGCACCGGCUUAACUACGUGCCAGCUAGCC